UUUGUACUCCCUCCGUCCCAAAAUUCCUGUCUUAAAUUUGUCUAAAUACGGAUGUAUCUAGUUACAUUUUAUUGUUAGAUACAUCCGUAUCUAAACAAAUGUAAGACAAGAAUUUUGGGACGGAGGGAAUACUAC
rnacentral:pre_miRNA from 1 species